rnacentral:rRNA from 1 species
CCUACGGGAGGCAGCAGUGGGGAAUCUUGCACAAUGGAGGAAACUCUGAUGCAGCGAUGCCGCGUGAGUGAAGAAGGCCUUUGGGUUGUAAAGCUCUUUUGUAGGGGAAGAUAAUGACUGUACCCUAAGAAUAAGGUCCGGCUAACUUCGUGCCAGCAGCCGCGGUAAUACGAAGGGACCUAGCGUAGUUCGGAAUUACUGGGCGUAAAGCGCGCGUAGGCCGUUGAGUUAGUUAAUUGUGAAAUCCCAAAGCUUAACUUUGGAACUGCAAUUAAAACUGCUCGACUAGAGUUUGAUAGAGGAAAGCGGAAUACAUAGUGUAGAGGUGAAAUUCGUAGAUAUUAUGUAGAACACCAGUUGCGAAGGCGGCUUUCUGGAUCAACACUGACGCUGAGGCGCGAAAGUAUGGGUAGCAAAGAGGAUUAGAUACCCUCGUAGUCCAUACCAUAAACGAUGAUUGCUAGAUGUUGGAAAUUUAUUUUCAGUAUCGCAGCUACGACAUAUACACUACCGUCCGUCGGGUAGGUACGACCGCGAACGUUAAACGUAACAAGAAGUAGACGGCGNGAGACGUGCCGACGGACGACGACGAGGGAGGUAGG